UUCGAAUGUACAGAAAUGGAUAAUCUAAACAAUAAAAUCGAAGUAAAGUAUGAUUUUAGUUAUCAAAAAACGGCUCUAAUAGUAACAAAUAUGCCUUAGUGUUUAAAAACUAGGGUGUGUCCCUUUUAUUUGUUUCAUCUUCAGGAGAGUAUACCCUACCUCUCACCAAUAAAUGUUUAUAGUUAUCCUAUCCCUCCUAAGCUUAAAACUUCUCUUGAUAUGCAAAUAGUUUAACCAUAUUCAUAUUAUCAUUAUUAUAUAUGUAAAUUACUCAAAAGUGAUCAUGUGGGACUGAAUAUAUGAAACCUAUUUUCUUAAACACAGGUAUUUAAGCAUUGUUAAGUUAAAGUUUUGUUUAACGACAACACUAUAACACAUUGAUUUAUUUAUCACUGGCUGUUGGAUGUUAAACAUUUAGUAAUUUUUGACACAGUCUUAGAGAAGAAACCCGCUGGUGCCACUGCCAAGGAUCGAUCCCAGUCUGACAGUGCAUCAGGCGAUCACUGUACCACUGGACUAUGUCCCACCCCGGCCACUAAUCUUUGACUUCCGUAUUGAAUAGACAUCCCAGAUAGCUUAUGUGUGUGCCCAGGAUAGCAUGCUUGAACCUAAAUAUCAUAUUUGCAAAAAACUUGAAUUAAUUCGACAGAAUACAUGUGUUUGUAUAUAAUAUAGUAUCUUUGUCUUCAGUUGGUUUUUUUUGACAAGGUGGGUUUUAUAGAAAUUUGUAUUAUACUAAAUCAAAAUUCAGUGAUUAGGUACUUUGUUGGAUCAAUAUUCACUGUGAUUAGGUACUUUGUUGGAUCAAUAUUCACUUUGUGAUGAAAAUAUUUGUAUAGAAUGUAUAUUUUUACACAUCCAUUUUUUAUUUAAAUUUAUUACGUGUUGAGAUUUAGAAUAAAAUGUAUAACAUUUAAGGACAACUGAUUUAUAUAUUUUUAACCUAUUGUUGUUUCUUAUUGCUUGUUACUUUCAACAUAAUAAUUAUGCGGGUAAUUUUUAGAAAGUAAAAGAAAGACUUUGAUGUUCCACACGAGAUUGUUUUAUAAUAAACCUUGAAACAAUGU